GCCGCAAUGCGUCGCCAUUUUGUCAUUUCCUAGUGUACAGUGCUGCAGUUAUUGCUAUUUGUUGAUUAUUUUUAAAAAUACUCAUUUCCCCUCACUUACUCAUUACAAAUAAAUAAGACUUCAAGGUUGUCAUAGCGUGGGUUCAUGGUUAUCUCCAAUGUUUUUCUCAUAAAUAAUCAUCUAUCAAUACGUAUAUGCAUGUAUACAAAUAUAUAGUAAUUAAAUCGACAAUGUCAAGAUAUCGCGAAUGGGAUUUAUCAUGCAAAGUUUAUGUUGGUAAUUUGGGCAGCAGUGCAAGUAAACAUGAAAUAGAAAACGCUUUUAGUCAGUAUGGGCCUUUGAGAAAUGUCUGGGUCGCUAGAAAUCCUCCGGGUUUUGCUUUUGUGGAGUUUGAAGAUCCCAGAGAUGCUGAAGAUGCUGUCCGUGGUCUUCAUGGAAAACGUUGCUGCGGAACAAGAGUAAGGGUUGAAAUGUCAUCGGGCAGAAGUCGUCGUGCUGGAGGUGGUCGGAGACCUGGUCCAAAAUACUCAAGGUCGAGAUCGCGCAGUCCCCGUAGCACUGGAAGAUCUGUGUCUCGUCACUCCAGGUCUCGUUCGCGAAGCCCAGAUUACUCUCCGUAUGGUCAAUAUCCCAGAUUCUACAAGUGUCAGCUCCUAAGUCUGCUCAUCUCCCUGCCACUACUAUCACCACUACUAGCAUUACUACUACCGCUACUGCUACUACUUCUACUACAGCCACCGUGAAAAAUAAAUAAACGUCUAGCAAUAAAAAAAGUAGACUUUAAAAAGUCAAAAAAUGAGUUUAAGUAAAAACAAAACAAAAAAAUUAUAAAAAAAACAAUAAAUAGCCUGCCUGCCCACUAACUUCCCAACCAGUCACCAUCAGUCACCACCAAGUCACCAAUAGGAGCCAGUCGUCUGUCGGAUCAGUCAGUCAGUCAGACAGUCCGUUGCUGUCCGUCGUGUACGUCAAUUACCCUUCAAUAAUCCAACUUCGGGCAACCGCAUCUCUUCUAAGCCGUCUAGGAGCACCGUUAUCCAUCAAUCAGUCAAUCAAUCAAACAAGCCAACGCGAUAUGAACUCUUCGAUCAAAAUAUUCAGCGCGUAUCGUCCCAACUUCUACUACUACUAUUACUGCUACUACUACCACUACUACUAGUACUGCUACUACUACUACCACUACCGGCAAUCACAUCGUUUUAAUUGGCUGAAUAAUUAAAAAAAAAUUAUAAAAAAUAUAGUAAAUCAAUGCGAGCGCAUCUUAUAGACGUCGAUCGAGCAAUGCAAUAAUGAUCACCUACACAACCAUCCUAAAUUUUCACCCAACCAAGUACCACCAAUCAUCACCACCAACCACCAAUACUACUACUACUACUACCACCACCACCACCACCACCACUACUACAUGUUCACAGAUGUCUGAUCCAGGUCGCGCAGUCCACGCAAGAGAUCACUCACUCGCAGCCGCAGCCGAGAUCGUCGUUCCAGAUCCGACUCAAGACGGUAA